UACGCAGGGACCAAGCGUUGUUCGGAUUUACUGGGCGUAAAGGGUGCGUAGGCGGCGUGAUAAGUCACUUGUGAAAUCUCCGAGCUUAACUCGGAACUGCCAAGUGAUACUAUUGUGCUAGAGUACAGAAAGGGUAACUGGAAUUCUUGGUGUAGCGGUGAAAUGCGUAGAUAUCAAGAGGAACACCUGAGGCGAAGGCGAGUUACUAGGCUGAUACUGACGCUGAGGUACGAAAGCUAGGGGAGCGAACGGG
rnacentral:rRNA from 1 species